rnacentral:rRNA from 1 species
GUGAGGAAUAUUGCGCAAUGGAGGCAACUCUGACGCAGCCAUGCCGCGUGCAGGAAGAAGGCGCUACGCGUUGUAAACUGCUUUUAACCGGGAAGAAACCCCAGGACGUGUCCUGGGUUGACGGUACCGGAGGAAUAAGCACCGGCUAACUUCGUGCCAGCAGCCGCGGUAAUACGAAGGGUGCAAGCGUUAUCCGGAUUCAUUGGGUUUAAAGGGUGCGUAGGCGGAGCGUUAAGUCAGUGGUGAAAUCCUGCAGCUUAACUGUAGACUUGCCAUUGAUACUGGCGCUCUUGAGUGCGCUUGAAGUGGGCGGAAUGUGCCGUGUAGCGGUGAAAUGCUUAGAUAUGACAUAGAACACCUAUUGCGAAGGCAGCUUACUACGCAUAUAUUGACGCUGAGGCACGAAAGCGUGGGGAUCAAACAGGAUUAGAAACCCUGGUAGUCC